rnacentral:rRNA from 1 species
GAUGAACGCUGGCGGCGUGCCUAAUACAUGCAAGUCGAGCGAAUGGAUUGAGAGCUUGCUCUUAUGAAGUUAGCGGCGGACGGGUGAGUAACACGUGGGUAACCUGCCCAUAAGACUGGGAUAACUCCGGGAAACCGGGGCUAAUACCGGAUAACAUUUUGAACCGCAUGGUUCGAAAUUGAGAGGCGGCUUCGGCUGUCACUUAUGGAUGGACCCGCGUCGCAUUAGCUAGUUGGUGAGGUAACGGCUCGCCAAGGCAACGAUGCGUAGCCGACCUGAGAGGGUGAUCGGCCACACUGGGACUGAGACACGGCCCAGACUCCUACGGGAGGCAGCAGUAGGGAAUCUUCCGCAAUGGACGAAAGUCUGACGGAGCAACGCCGCGUGAGUGAUGAAGGCUUUCGGGUCGUAAAACUCUGUUGUUAGGGAAGAACAAGUGCUAGUUGAAUAAGCUGGCACCUUGACGGUACCUAACCAGAAAGCCACGGCUAACUACGUGCCAGCCGCCGCCGUAA